rnacentral:tRNA from 1 species
GGGACUAUAGUUAACAAUAACAUUUGAGUUGCAUUCAAAAAGUACUAUUUUAAGUAGUUAGUCUUA